UACGGGGGGGGCAAGCGUUGUUCGGAAUUACUGGGCGUAAAGGGCGCGUAGGCGGCCUUCUAAGUCGGACGUGAAAUCCCUCGGCUUAACCGAGGAACUGCGUCCGAUACUGAAAGGCUUGAAUCCGGGAGAGGGAUGUGGAAUUCCAGGUGUAGCGGUGAAAUGCGUAGAUAUCUGGAGGAGCACCGGUGGCGAAGGCGGCAUCCUGGACCGGCAUUGGCGCUGAGGCGCGAAAGCUAGGGGAGCAAACGGG
rnacentral:rRNA from 1 species